rnacentral:rRNA from 1 species
AGAAUCAACGCUGGCGGCGUGCCUAACACAUGCAAGUCGAACGAGAAAGUGGAGCAAUCCAUGAGUAAAGUGGCGCACGGGUGAGUAACACGUGACUAACCUACCUUUUAGUGGGGGAUAACCUAGGGAAAACCUGGGCUAAUACCGCAUAAUACUUACGAGUCAAAGCAGCAAUGCGCUGAAAGAGGGGGUCGCGGUCGAUUAGUUAGUUGGCAGGGUAAUGGCCUACCAAGACUGUGAUCGAUAUCCGGCCUGAGAGGGCGCACGGACACACUGGAACUGAAACACGGUCCAGACUCCUACGGGAGGCAGCAGUGGGAAUUUUGCGCAAUGGGGGAAACCCUGACGCAGCAACGCCGCGUGGAGGAUGAAGUCCCUUGGGACGUAAACUCCUUUCGAUCGGGACGAUAAUGACGGUACCGGAAGAAGGAAGCCCGGCUAACUUCGCGCCAGCAGCCGC